rnacentral:rRNA from 1 species
UGAGGAAUAUUGCGCAAUGGGCGAAAGCCUGACGCAGCGACGCCGCGUGAAGGAUGAAGGUCUUCGGAUUGUAAACUUCUGUUAAACGGGAAGAAAGACCCACUAGUAAUAUGAGUGGGGGAUGACGGUACCGUUAGAGAAAGCACCGGCUAACCUCGUGCCAGCAGCCGCGGUAAUACGAGGGGUGCAAGCGUUAUUCGGAAUGACUGGGCGUAAAGGGUGUGUAGACGGUAUGUUAAGUCUAUUGUUAAAUUCUUCGGCCUAACCGAGGACCUGCGAUAGAAACUGGCAAACUAGAGGGUGGAAGAGAGAAGUGGAAUUCUCGGAGUAGCGGUAAAAUGCGUAGAUCUCGAGAGGAACACCAAUGGCGAAGGCAGCUUCUUGGUCCAUACCUGACGUU